AGGGAUGAGCCAGCGGAUAGGCGGCCCGGCUCCAACCCGGGCGGAAUGCGGGUUCGACUCCUGCCGUCCCUG
rnacentral:tRNA from 1 species